rnacentral:rRNA from 1 species
GUUGGUGAGGUAGUGGCUCACCAAGGCGACGACGGGUAGCCGGCCUGAGAGUUCGACCGGCCACACUUUGACUGAGACACGGAACAGACUCCUACGGGAGGCAGUUGUGGGGAAUAUUGCACAAUGGGCGAAAGCCUGAUGCAGCGACGCCGCGUGAGGGAUGACGGCCUUCGGGUUGUAAACCUCUUUCAGCAGGGAAGAAGCGAAAGUGACGGUACCUGCAGAAGAAGCGCCGGCUAACUACGUGCCAGCAGCCCCGGUAAUACGUAGGGCGCAAGCGUUGUCCGGAAUUAUUGGGCGUAAAGAGCUCGUAGGCGGCUUGUCACGUCGGUUGUGAAAGCCCGGGGCAUAACCCCGGGUCUGCAGUCGAUACGGGCAGGCUAGAGUUCGGUAGGGGAGAUCGGAAUUCCUGGUGUAGCGGUGAAAUGCGCAGAUAUCAGGAGGAACACCGGUGGCGAAGGCGGAUCUCUGGGCCGAUACUGACGCUGAGGAGCGAAAGCGUGGGGAGCGAACAGGAUUAGAUACCC